rnacentral:rRNA from 1 species
AAUCUGGCUCUUUCAGAGUCCGAGUUGUAAUUUUAAGAACUGUUUUCCGUGCUGGACCAUUUCUAAGUCUGUUGAAAAAUAGCAUCAUUGAGGGUGAUAAUCCCGUUCAUGAUAUGGACUGCCAGUGCAAUGUGAUACAGUUUCUAAGAGUCGAGUUGUUUGGGAAUGCAGCUCAAAGUGGGUGGUAAAUUCCAUCUAAGGCUAAAUAUAGGUGAGAGACCGAUAGCAUACAAGUACCGUGAGGGAAAGAUGAAAAGAACUUUGGAAAGAGAGUUAAAAGUACGUGAAAUUGUUGUAAGGGAAACAAUUAAAGUUAGCCUUGUGCUUGUUAGUUCAGCUCUUUAACUAGGGUGUAUUCUAACAAUGUCACGGACCAACAUCAGUUUUUGGGUGCUGGAUAAGGGCUCCGGAAAUGUAGCAGUCUCGGCUGUGUUAUAGUCCGGGGUUUGGAUACAGUGCCUGGGACUGAGGAGAUCUGCAGCAAGC